rnacentral:rRNA from 1 species
AGAGUUUGAUCCUGGCUCAGGAUGAACGCUAGCUACAGGCUUAACACAUGCAAGUCGAGGGGCAUCAGGAUGUAGCAAUACAUUGCUGGCGACCGGCGCACGGGUGAGUAACACGUAUCCAACCUGCCUUUUACUCGGGGAUAGGCUUUCGAAAGAAAGAUUAAUACCCGAUGGUAUAAUAUUUCCGCAUGGGAUUAUUAUUAAAGAAUUUCGGUAAAAGAUGGGGAUGCGUUCCAUUAGGCAGUUGGCGGGGUAACGGCCCACCAAACCUUCGAUGGAUAGGGGUUCUGAGAGGAAGGUCCCCCACAUUGGAACUGAGACACGGUCCAAACUCCUACGGGAGGCAGCAGUGAGGAAUAUUGGUCAAUGGGCGAAAGCCUGAACCAGCCAAGUAGCGUGAAGGAUGACUGCCCUAUGGGUUGUAAACUUCUUUUAUAGGGGAAUAAAAUGAGCCACGUGUGGCUUUUUGUAUGUACCCUAUG